GGGGUAACUGACAAAGUGGGCGGGGCGCCGGCGGCCCAAUGCGCGUGCGCCGCCAGUCCUCUGGGGCCGUUUCCGCCCCGCUCCUCCGCCAUUCCCGUAGCCUCGCCGCACCGCCUCUAGAGCGCAGGCGCCUUCCGUCACCCGCGGUCCCCUGGUCACCUUCCACACCCAGUGUUUAGUGCCCUCCCUCUUUCAUCUCCCGGGAACGCGCGCGUACACACUCCUGGGAACGCGCUUGGGGUAUCCCGCCCACCGCAAAAAUCCCUGAAAAGGGGGCGUUGGUGGGGCGGGGAAAAGCUAGCCUGGGCGAGGCCGGAAAGAAAAGAAUCCCGCAGGAAGGAAAGAAGCUUGAACGUGUUGGCGAGAGGUUGGGCAUGCGCACGAGUUAUCUGUCCCUCGCGAGGCGGGGGCCUGACCACCGAGCAUGCUUAGCUGCUCCCAACACGCGUCUGCCUCGGGCCGCCGAGUGGUACCCCGUGGUCUCCUGGGAGUAGUAGUUCUUCAGAGCUUCCUUUCCCUUGUCCUGAGAUGACCUAUCGCCUACUUAUCGUUCCUGGCCUGGGGAGCUUGGUGGCCUCGGAGUCACCGCCUGCACCGUCCUCUAAGACAGAGAACCAAAGGGCAGCCCUCGGUGGAGCGGACUGUCGCUGUACUCCUGCCACUGUCCUUAAUAGUGGAGCGCCAGGAGUCGGGGAAGAAAAGACCUCAUGCAAGCAUCUUCGAAGGAACUUAAGAGAUGACCUGUGUUGUCAACCUCCUCGUUUUCUUAGAUGGCUGUGUUACUAGCCCAUAAUUAAACUGUAGCUUCAAGUUAGGCCUAUAGCACCCCCCAGACUUGAACUCAGGCACCCAUGCUCCUUGGUCCUUCUUCCCAUUCCCCAGUGAUCCUUCCUUUCUAGCUUGCACUGGAAACAAUGGAGAGAGUUAUUGUGAUGACUGAAAGAAUGUCAGUUGCUUGGCACAGGGCCUGGCUUGUGGGGUCGUUGGUUAUGUGAUAACCCCAUUAGCCCUCCCACAGUUAUCAAUCCGGCUGAGGAAUGGUCUUGGUCUAUGUGGUGUGACUGGGCUGGCAAGGGCUUUGGAGGGGAGAAAAAUAAUAUGCCAGAGCUGGACAAAGAACGGGAUGGGCCUUGUAGAAAUACCUGUCUUAUAGGGCAAGUUUUGGCACAGCCAAGGUGAUAGGUCUCUGUCUCUACCACCUCCCAACUUCAUAGAAAUUCUGUAAGGCACUUGAAGGGAGGUUGAGGUAUUUUCCAGCUUUGCAACCUAGAACAAGGCAUUCCACUUCUCUGAGACUCUAGUUGACCAUCUACUAAAAGUAGGAUAAUAAAACCUGCCUUGGGUGGUGGUUUUUAGACUUACAAAUGACAGAUUAUUAUUAUUAUUAUUAUUAUUAUUAUUUAUUAUUAUUUAUUUAUUAUUUAUUAAUUAAUUAAUUUAUUAUUUAUUUAUUAAUAUUUUUAUUAAUUAUUAUUAACAUUAAUAUUAUUAUUAAUAUUUUUUAUUUAUUUGGCUGCACAGGGUUUUAGUUGUGGCACGAGGUACGUUUUUAGUUGCGACUAGUGGGAUCUAGUUCCCUGAACAGUGAUCAGACCCAGACCCCCUGCAUUGGAGUGCAGAGUCUUCCUCACUGGACUACCAGAGAAGUUGCACAAAUGACAGAUUUUUAAAGUUGCUUUCAUACACGAUAGGUUCUUUAAGUUUCCAGGAAUUAGGACAUAGACAUAUUUAAGGGACAUUAUUCAGCCUGCCGCAAUGGUUUUAAAUACCAUCCAUAUGCUCUUGAUUCCAGUAAUAAUCUCUACCCUGACCACAUUUCUGAACUCACAUAUCUAAUGCUACUCUACAUUGUCACUUAACUGUUUAAUAGGUGUUGCAAACAUUCCCAACAGUAGCUUUAAAUCUACUACAUCUUUCAUGUAGUUGUUCGAAACUAAGAUCCUAGGAGUUAUCCUUAAUCCUUUUCUUUUUCUCACAGUUCUAUCCAGACCAUUAACAAGCGCUAUCAGCUCUACCUCCAAAAUGUAUCUUGAAUUUUCCCAUUUAUAUCAUCUCCACCCGAGGUCACCAUAAUCUCUGGCCUCUACUGCCACAUGGAGUCUAACUGCUUUCUCUGUUUCUUCUUUUGAACCCAUACAAUCCAUUUUGAUCACUAGCCAGAAGGAUUUUGUUUUAAAGUAUAAACCAGAUCAGUUCCUCCUCUUAUUCAAACACAUCAACUCCUUACCAUUGCACUUACCAUGAAAUGACUCUACAAGCUCACCUCUUCUGCUCAGUAGUUUCCAAGCCCUGGUUUGGAAAUCCCCAGAAACACCAACCUCCUUCCUCCUGGUAGUCUUUGCACCAACGGGGUUCACCUUUCAGCUACUUUCUUCUCACCACUGAGGCUUCAGCUCCAACGUUAGCUCCUUAAACAGUGGCUUCAGCUCCAAUGUUAGCUACUUAAACAGUCUUACACUCCCAAAUGAACCCUACCUCUUCAUAGCACUUCCGAGCAUAUCACCUGGGUUUAUUUUCUUCCCAGUACUUACUUCUGCCCAAAAUAAUCGUGUGUUUCUUACUGGUUUUUCAGUCUUCCUCUUCUAGAAGAGAAACCCUGGGAAAGGAGAGAACUGUCUGCUUGCUUAUCAUUGUAUUCCUUUUAGAAUAGUACCUGGCACAUCAGGAGGCAUGUUGUUAAGUAGUCAUUAAAUAUUGUAAGAUUCUAUUUAUAUGAAAUGCCCACAAUAGGCAAAUCUGCAGACCCAGAAAGCUGAUUAGUAAUUGCUAAUAGCAUAGGGGGAUAUGGGGGGGAAAGAAGGAAGGGAGACCAAUUUUGAUGGCUAAGGAAUGUUCAAGAUUUCUUUUUCAGAUAAUAAAAAUGUUUUAAAAUUAUCAUAGUGAUUGCACAAAUUUAUGGAUAUUCUAAAAGUCACUGAAUUGUACACUUUAAAA
ensembl:lncRNA